rnacentral:rRNA from 1 species
CCGCACAAGCGGUGGAGCAUGUGGUUUAAUUCGAUGCAACGCGAAGAACCUUACCUACUCUUGACAUCCAGCGAAUUCGGCAGAGAUGCCUUAGUGCCUUCGGGAACGCUGAGACAGGUGCUGCAUGGCUGUCGUCAGCUCGUGUUGUGAAAUGUUGGGUUAAGUCCCGCAACGAGCGCAACCCUUAUCCUUUGUUGCCAGCGAGUCAUGUCGGGAACUCAAAGGAGACUGCCGGUGAUAAACCGGAGGAAGGUGGGGAUGACGUCAAGUCAUCAUGGCCCUUACGAGUAGGGCUACACACGUGCUACAAUGGCGCAUACAAAGAGAAGCGACCUCGCGAGAGCAAGCGGACCUCACAAAGUGCGUCGUAGUCCGGAUCGGAGUCUGCAACUCGACUCCGUGAAGUCGGAAUCGCUAGUAAUCGUGGAUCAGAAUGCCACGGUGAAUACGUUCCCGGGCCUUGUACACACCGCCCGUCACACCAUGGGAGUGGGUUGCAAAAGAAGUAGGUAGCUUAACCUUCGGGAGGGCGCUUACCACUUUGUGAUCAU